AGAGUUUGAUCCUGGCUCAGAACGUACGCUGGCGGCACGCCUAAUACAUGCAAGUCGAACGAAGUAGCAAUACUUAGUGGCAGACGGGUGAGUAACAUGUGGGUAUCUUCCCUUUGGUGAGGAAUAACACGAGGAAACUUGUGCUAAUACCUCAUAAGUCUUUACGGAGAAAGCUUUAUGCGCCAAUGGAUGAGCCCGCACUUGAUUAGUUUGUUGGUAGGGUAAUGGCCUACCAAGACUAUGAUCAAUAGCUGAUUUGAGAGGAUGAUCAGCCACAUUGGGACUGAGACACGGCCCAAACUCCUACGGGAGGCAGCAGUAGGGAAUCUUGCACAAUGGAGGAAACUCUGAUGCAGCGAUGCCGCGUGAGUGAAGAAGGCCCUUGGGUUGUAAAGCUCUUUCGUCGGGGAAGAAAAUGACUGUACCCGAAUAAGAAGGUCCGGCUAACUUCGUGCCAGCAGCCGCGGUAAUACGAGGGGACCUAGCGUAGUUCGGAAUUACUGGGCUUAAAGAGUUCGUAGGUGGUUAAAAAAGUUGGUUGUGAAAUCCCGGAGCUUAACUCCGGAACUGCAAUCAAAACUUUUUAGCUAGAGUAUGAUAGAGGGAAGCAGAAUUUCUAGUGUAGAGGUGAAAUUCGUAGAUAUUAGAAAGAAUACCGAUUGCGAAGGCAGCUUUCUGGAUCAUUACUGACACUGAGGAACGAAAGCAUGCGUAGCGAAGAGGAUUAGAUACCCUCGUAGUCCAUGCCGUAAACGAUGUGUGUUAGACGUUGGAAAUUUAUUUUCAGUGUCGCAGCGAAAGCAAUAAACACACCGCCUGGGGAGUACGACCGCAAGGUUAAAACUCAAAUGAAUUGACGGGGACCCGCACAAGUAGUGGAGCAUGUGGUUUAAUUCGAAGAUACGCGCAGAACCUUACCAACACUUGACAUGUUCGUCGCGACUCUAAGAGAUUAGAGUUUUCGGUUCGGCCGGACGAAACACAGGUGCUGCAUGGCUGUCGUCAGCUCGUGUCGUGAGAUGUUGGGUUAAGUCCCGCAACGAGCGCAACCCUCACUUUUAGUUGCCAUCAUUUAGUUGGGCACUCUGAAAGAACUGCCAGUGAUAAGCUGGAGGAAGGUGGGGAUGACGUCAAGUCCUCAUGGCCCUUAUGUGUUGGGCUACACACGUGCUACAAUGGCAUUUACAGUAGGAAGCAAGAUGGUGACGUCAAGCAAAUCCUAAAAAAAUGCCUCAGUUCGGAUUGUACUCUGCAACUCGAGUACAUGAAGCUGGAAUUACUAGUAAUCGCGGAUCAGCGCGCCGCGGUGAAUGCGUUCCCGGGUCUUGUACACACCGCCCGU
rnacentral:rRNA from 1 species